UGCGUAGGCGGUUUGCCAAGUUGGUAGCGUAAUUCCGGGGCUCAACUCCGGAACUACUACCAAAACUGGUAGGCUUGAGUGCGGCAGGGGUAAGUGGAAUUCCUAGUGUAGCGGUGGAAUGCGUAGACUAUUAGGAGGAACACCGGUGGCGAAAGCGACUUACUGGGCCGUAACUGACGCUGAGGCACGAAAGCGUGGGGAGCAAACA
rnacentral:rRNA from 1 species